UCUCCUCUAUUACUCUUUUUCAUAUUUUUCUUCUCUAUUUUUCAGUUCUGUUUUACUUUUUUUUGUUGUAUGUAAUCUGACUUCCAACUUUAUUGUUUUCUUUGUUUUUUUUUAUUCUUCUCUGUUUGUGUUGGCUGAUUAAGAUGCAAGACAGAUUUUUUGUAUUUUAGUAGUUUGCUUGAAUGCUUGUUAUGUCUAUCUAUUCUCUUUUUAAUUUGAGUAUUGAAUGAUUAUGUUAUUUAUUGAGCUUUUCGUUAUUUAUUUAUGCAUGUUUAAUAUUUUUGAAUUUUGAUCUAAAUAGCGCUUUAAUGGAAAAAAUCGUGCACUUUGCUUCACGCUUUUCGCUUCUAUGAAGCGAGCCCUCGUUGCUUUUUUUCGCCUCACUUUUCAAAACACUGGUGUUAACAAAGACGUGUUAGAUUAUGCAAAAGAGGCAAAUACAUUAAUAAGGUUUUUGAAACAUGAAGUUGCAAUAUAGGGAUCAUUUUGCAGACCACAAACUGACUUUCUCUAUACGGCAAGAAUCAAGCGUGUUACUCCUAAUUCACCGGAUUUGGACCUCUUCUCUCUCUUAUCACACCGGGACAUUUUGGGAAAUAAUAUAAUCCAAAUUUGUUUCCUGGAGAUAUAUCGAUUGACACGGUUUAGAUUAUUUGUUGUUGUUACCAAAUCCAAUCCAAUCCGAUCCGAUAUAAUCUCUUCAACAACCGAUGCAACGGCUCGUUGACACCCUCUCUGUCACCGAAGGGAUCAAAUGUCGGGGACGAUAAUUGCGAGGGGGCUAAAGUUGGAUGACUGUUUUCUAUACACUUUUUCACUCCUUGUGUUCUAUCAUUUGCUUAUACUUCUACACCUAGUAAGAUUGAGGGUCAAACCUGAAUUUUUGUAUGAACAUUGACGGCCUACUUUAGCCCCUCUCGAUAUUAAUCCACCACCUGAAAUUGCACCACAACUAGAGUCUGAGAAUUCUUCAAGGCCUGCUCCUUUUGAGCCCACUCGAGGAUCUACCAGAGUAUCUUAUACUCUUAGUUGGUAUGAAUUUUCAUCUACUUUAUGCACCAUUUUUGUUUCAAGUUGUUACUCACAAGCUUCCAAGCAUGAAUGUUGGCAGAAAGCAAUGGAGGAAGAACUUUUGGCUCUUAAAGAAAAUGACACAUGUGAUAUUGUUUCAUGUCCUUCAAAUGUGCAUCCAAUUGGAUGUAAAUGGGUUUAUUCAAUUAAUCUUUAUUCUGAUGGAACUCUUGAUCCGUACAAAGCUCGGUUGGUUGUUCUUGGUAACAGACAAGAGUAUGGUGUGAACUAUGAGGAGACUUUUGCACCGGUAGUAAAAAUGACUACUUUACAAACUAUUAUUGUCAUUAUUGCUUCACAAAAUUGGACUCUUCAUCAAAUGGAUGUCAAAAAUGCUUUUCUUCAUGGUGGUCUCAAAGAGGAUAUUUAUAUGAAACCUCUACCAUGUUUGUUCUCAUCGUCUACAUUAGAUGUAUGCAAGUUGAAGAGGUCUUUAUAUAGAUUAAAACAAGCCUCCACAGCUUAGUUUGACAAAAUUUGGUCUACUUUGCUACAAUUCUCUUUUGAGCAGAGCAAAUAUGACUCAUUUUUGUUUCUUCGAAAAACAUCUACAAGUUGUAUUCUUCUUUUGGUAUA